CGACAGGCACCGCCCGGACGGUGGCAUCCUUGAAAAGCAGGUCUUGGCCAUGAUAGUUGGAGGAGUCGAACAUUUUGAACCCGUUCUUAUUGUGGUCGUCUCCAAACAGGUCCUGGAAGCACCGCAAGCAGACGACCUGCUUCUCACUGGGCUCAGGCAGGGUCACCCGCCCAGUGCCGCUAGCUGCAAAUUGCUUUACAUACAGUGACCCAAAGAGCAAAUAUCUCCCCACAAACCUAAACAAUUUCGAGAGGGACUUGUGUUCUGCAACCAGUCACAGAAUAUCAGGUGAGCUGGGCGUGUCUUCACCGACCCACCCGCCCAGGGACGCUGCACUCCUCUCCACCCUGCUCAGAAUCACUAGAAUGACCGUUCUGUGGCUGCAGCCCUAAAAGAGCUACUAAAAAGACCAGAAGUGGUAUGAGAACUUACAAAUACAAAUAUAAAUAAAGG
rnacentral:lncRNA from 1 species